UGGGGAAUAUUGGGCAAUGGGCGCAAGCCUGACCCAGCCAUGCCACGUGAGUGAUGAAGGCCUUCGGGUUGUAAAGCUCUUUCGGAUGUGAUGAUGAUGACAGUAGCAUCUAAAGAAGCACCGGCUAACUUCGUGCCAGCAGCCGCGGUAAUACGAAGGGUGCAAGCGUUGUUCGGAAUUACUGGGCGUAAAGGGUGUGUAGGCGGUUUGAUAAGAUAGGGGUGAAAUCCCGGGGCUUAACCUCGGAACUGCCUUUAUAACUAUUAGACUUGAAUAAUGGAGAGGACAGUGGAAUACCCAGUGUAGAGGUGGAAUUCGUAGAUAUUGGGUAGAACACCAGAGGCGAAGGCGACUGUCUGGCCAUUAAUUGACGCUGAGGCACGAAAGUGUGGGGAGCAAA
rnacentral:rRNA from 1 species